CAUGCAACAGUAAUCUUUAACUACUUUGGUGUCUCCAGAAGAGAGGUGCUGCAUUGGUGAGUGAGGUGCUGCAAUGGUGAGCGAGGUGCUGCAAUGGUGAGCGAGGUGCUGCAAUGGUGAGUGAGGUGCUGCAAUGGUGAGUGAGGUGCUGCAAUGGUGAGAGAGGUGCUGCAAUGGUGAGUGAGGUGCUGCAAUGGUGAGCGAUGGUGAGCGAGGUGCUGCAAUGGUGAGCGAGGUGCUGCAAUGGUGAGCGAGGUGCUGCAAUGGUGAGCGAGGUGCUGCAAUGGUGAGAGAGGUGCUGCAAUGGUGAGCGAGGUGCUGCAAUGGUGAGCGAGGUGUUGCAAUGGUGAGUGAGGUGCUGCAAUGGUGAGUGAGGUGCUGCAAUGGUGAGUGAGGUGCUGCAAUGGUGAGCGAGGUGCUGCAAUGGUGAGUGAGGUGCUGCAAUGGUGAGCGAUGGUGAGCGAGGUGCUGCAAUGGUGAGCGAGGUGCUGCAAUGGUGAGCGAGGUGCUGCAAUGGUGAGCGAGGUGCUGCAAUGGUGAGCGAGGUGCUGCAAUGGUGAGCGAGGUGCUGCAAUGGUGAGCGAGGUGCUGCAAUGGUGAGCGAGGUGCUGCAAUGGUGAGUGAGGUGCUGCAAUGGUGAGUGAGGUGCUGCAAUGGUGAGCGAUGGUGAGUGAGGUGCUGCAAUGGUGAGUGAGGUGCUACAAUGGUGAGUGAGGUGCUGCAAUGGUGAGUGAGGUGCUGCAAUGGUGAGUGAGGUGCUGCAAUGGUGAGUGAGGUGCUGCAAUGGUGAGCGAUGGUGAGCGAGGUGCUGCAAUGGUGAGCGAGGUGCUGCAAUGGUGAGCGAGGUGCUGCAAUGGUGAGCGAGGUGCUGCAAUGGUGAGCGAGGUGCUGCAAUGGUGAGCGAGGUGCUGCAAUGGUGAGCGAGGUGCUGCAAUGGUGAGUGAGGUGCUGCAAUGGUGAGUGAGGUGCUGCAAUGGUGAGUGAGGUGCUGCAAUGGUGAGCGAGGUGCUGCAAUGGUGAGCGAGGUGCUGCAAUGGUGAGCGAGGUGCUGCAAUGGUGAGCGAGGUGCUGCAAUGGUGAGCGAGGUGCUGCAAUGGUGAGUGAGGUGCUGCAAUGGUGAGAGAGGUGCUGCAAUGAUGAGUGAGGUGCUGCAAUGGUGAGUGAGGUGCUGCAAUGGUGAGUGAGGUGCUGCAAUGGUGAGUGAGGUGCUGCAAUGGUGAGUGAGGUGCUGCAAUGGUGAGCGAGGUGCUGCAAUGGUGAGCGAGGUGCUGCAAUGGUGAGUGAGGUGCUGCAAUGGUGAGCGAGGUGCUGCAAUGGAGCCUCACCAAACAGCCACCUUCCCAGCCAGCCGGGAACUUAAAGCCAACUUUUUCCAACUUACAGAAUUGACCACUUCUUAUUUGAGGAUACUUGAAUUACUAAAAUU